UAAUUAGGGCCCCGCAAGGAUUUGCGGGUGCCCUAUAGUAAUCACUCUGUCCGUCCGUCUGUCCGUCUGUCACUCUUCCGUCCACAAAUUUUCUGUUUUUUUCUAAUAACUUUUUUUUAUGGUUGCCCAAUCAAGUUCAAAUUUGGUAUGGUAGUUCAGUAGGCAGAAAUACAUAUUUUGAUGCUAAUUUGAUUCUCUAUGUCCUCUGGUUUGGAGCUAGGGUGGUGGGGUAGAUUCCUUAACUAUGCAUAAGAAUGAAUGGACAACUUUUUUUUAUGGUUGCCCAAUCAAGUACAAAUUUGGUAUGGUAGUUCAGUAGGCAGAAAUACAUAUUUUGAUGCUAAGUUUGGUUUUCUAUGUCCCCUGGUUUGGAGCUUGGGUAGAGGGGUAGAUUCCUUAACUUUAUAUAAGAAAGCAUUGGCAAAGAGAGAUAACUGCUGAAGAUGUUCCCAUUGUAAACUGAAUGCUGCUAUGAGUCUCUUGGGAUUAAUUAGCUUUCUUCCUGAAGAAAAUCCAGAGCAUUAUCUUUAUCUGUCAAAUUGAGAUGAAUUACCACCUCUGUCUGCAAAUGAAGUUUGUUUUGUAGUUAAGUCAAUUUGGAAUGCUAUGAAAACUCUGAAAUGUGGAUUUAAAUAUACAUUUUUAUAAUUUAUUUUUGUUAAAUAGUUAUGAUUUCAUUGAAUUCUAAUAACAAGAAAUAGAUUUAAGAAGAUUUUUUUUAUUUACUUUUUUCACUUUAUGUUAAUUCAAGAAUAUUAUUAAUUUUUAGGAUAGUUGUAUAAAAACCCCAUUCUAUCAUUAAUACUGAAACCAGAACUAAAAAUGAUGAGAGAGGUACAAUUAAUCCCAAGGGAUUAAUUAUCUAGCCUGCUGC